rnacentral:piRNA from 1 species
UGCUAUGUGAAACGUUUCUGAAAACAGUG